GUUUUCUUUUGGGUUUUACCCCCCACUUCCCCUCCGCCCUCUUUCGGUUGUUGAAUCAAUUCCGAGGCUCUCACUCACUCACUCACUCACUCGCUCAAUGACACAAAAUCACCUGCCAAACUGAAAACGAAAAUCUCGGGGGCGAGAUGUAUCCUCAAGCCAGACAUCCCGCUCCUCACCAGCCGGCUCAGCCCUUUAAAUUCACCAUCUCCGAAUCGUGCGACCGCAUCAAGGAGGAAUUUCAGUUUUUGCAAGCGCAGUACCACAGUUUGAAACUGGAAUGUGAAAAGCUGGCCAGUGAAAAGACAGAAAUGCAACGCCAUUAUGUCAUGUAUUAUGAAAUGUCUUACGGCCUGAAUAUAGAAAUGCACAAACAGGCUGAAAUUGUCAAGAGGCUAAAUGCCAUUUGUGCCCAAGUCAUUCCCUUCCUGUCUCAGGAGCACCAACAGCAAGUGGUGCAGGCAGUGGAACGGGCCAAGCAGGUGACCAUGGCUGAGCUAAACGCCAUCAUCGGGCAGCAGCAAACCAUCUACCCCACAAUGGUUAUUUCUCAACAGCAGCAGCAGCAGUUACAGGCCCAACAUUUGUCACACGGUCACGCACUCCCAAUACCUCUCACUCCACACCCAUCUGGGCUUCAGCCUCCAGGAAUCUCCACUGUUGGGAGCAGUGUGGGCCUGUUGGCUCUGUCCAGUGCCAUGAAAGAUGAGAAAAAGCAUCAUGAUACAGAUCAUCAAAGAGCAGACAGAGACUCUGUAAAGAGUUCCUCUGUUUCACCAUCGGCUAGUUUCAGAACUGCAGAGAAGCACAGAAACUCUAAUGAUUAUUCCACAGACAGUAAGAAGCAGAAGACUGAUGAUAAAGAUUUAGCAAAUCGUUAUGACAGUGAUGGAGAGAAGAGCGAUGACAACCUGGUGGUUGAUGUCUCCAAUGAGGAUCCAAACUCUCCACGAGGCAGCCCCCCACAUUCACCAAGAGAAAAUGGGUUGGAUAAAUCCCGCCUGUUAAAAAAGGAUGCGCCUAUUAGCCCAGCUUCCAUAGCUUCUUCCAGCAGCACUCCUUCUUCAAAGUCCAAAGAACUGAGUCUUAAUGAGAAAUCAACUACUCCAGUCUCAAAGUCAAACACUCCAACUCCACGAACAGAUGCUCCAACUCCCGGAAGUAACUCCACUCCAGGAUUGAGGCCUAUCCCUGGCAAACCCCCAGGAAUUGAUCCAUUAGGCUCCGGCUUGAGGACUCCCAUGGCAGUGCCGUGUCCUUACCCCACUCCUUUUGGAAUUGUGCCCCACGCUGGUAUGAACGGGGAGCUAACAAGCCCAGGGGCAUAUGCAGGUUUACAUAAUAUCUCACCACAGAUGAGCGCCGCCGCGGCUGCAGCCGCGGCAGUUGCUGCUUACGGCCGUUCUCCAGUGGUUGGAUUUGAUCCGCAUCACAUGCGUGUACCAGGCAUUCCGCCAAACUUGACUGGCAUUCCUGGGGGAAAACCUGCUUAUUCAUUUCAUGUAAGUGCGGAUGGACAGAUGCAGCCUGUGCCUUUCCCUCCCGACGCCCUGAUCGGGCCGGGUAUCCCGAGACACGCUCGUCAGAUGAACUCUCUGAGCCAUGGCGAGGUCGUGUGCGCAGUGACCAUCAGCAACCCCACCAGACACGUGUACACUGGUGGGAAAGGAUGUGUGAAGGUCUGGGAUAUCAGUCACCCUGGUAAUAAGAGCCCGGUCUCUCAGCUGGACUGCCUGAACCGAGACAAUUACAUCCGAUCGUGCAAGCUGCUCCCUGAUGGCCGGACCCUGAUAGUUGGUGGUGAAGCCAGUACGUUGUCCAUUUGGGACCUGGCAGCCCCAACUCCACGUAUAAAGGCGGAGUUGACGUCCUCCGCUCCUGCCUGCUAUGCUUUGGCUAUAAGCCCCGACUCCAAGGUCUGUUUCUCGUGCUGCAGCGAUGGUAAUAUUGCUGUCUGGGAUCUGCACAAUCAGACAUUAGUCCGGCAAUUCCAGGGUCACACAGAUGGGGCCAGCUGUAUUGACAUAUCAAAUGAUGGCACCAAGCUUUGGACGGGAGGUUUAGACAACACCGUGAGAUCCUGGGACCUCCGGGAAGGAAGACAACUACAGCAGCACGACUUCACAUCCCAGAUCUUUUCAUUGGGAUAUUGUCCCACUGGUGAAUGGCUUGCAGUUGGAAUGGAGAACAGUAAUGUAGAAGUGCUGCAUGUGACCAAACCAGACAAAUAUCAGCUGCACCUCCAUGAGAGCUGCGUGCUAUCUCUUAAGUUUGCUCAUUGUGGUAAGUGGUUUGUAAGUACUGGGAAGGAUAACUUGCUGAAUGCUUGGAGAACCCCUUACGGAGCCAGCAUAUUCCAGUCCAAGGAGUCCUCAUCGGUCCUGAGCUGCGAUAUCUCCGUGGAUGAUAAAUACAUUGUCACCGGCUCUGGGGACAAGAAGGCUACAGUCUAUGAAGUUAUUUAUUAGAAGUGGAGCCUGAACACAAAGAUACCUUUCACUAUAGCACUUUUGUUAGAUUUGCUCUUUAUGGCUGACUUUGCAAAACAAAAGACUGCAACAUUCUUGUCAUCGUUUCUCAGCUCUGUACUGUAUGUGUUAGUAAAUUCUGAACGUGAACAUCCUACAUAUGAAACCCUCAAAUUCAACUACUGAGUGGGUGAACAAGCUUCCUUUGCCAUUAAUUGAAUGAAGGACCAGAAGGUUUCAUCUAUUUAUUUUUCUGAACACUUUUUUUAAAAAAAAUAAUCUUUGUUGAACUUGACUCAUUUCACACAAAGCCCCCUGACAGCUUUGGUGAUAAAAGGGAAGAAAAUUACCCAUAGAUCAUCGAUGGAUGUUUCUCGCUUUGUAUGUUUUUGCUAAAACCUGAACUUCAGCAAGAUACCACCAACCCCAUCUGGAAAUGACUGACUUUUGGGGGGAAAAAAGACUUUAUUCGGACUGUAAAAACACGGAAGUAUUGAUGCUAAAGCAAGCUUGUUGGGGUUGAUCGUGGCACAGGCAAGAGUCAUUUUAAAUGGUUAAUCAAAUUUAAUAGGCCAUACCACAGACAUGCGGUGAUGACUGAUGUCAAAACAGUUUGUGUUCCACUGAGAAAUAACUCUUAAUCAGCCUGCUCCCCCUUCCACCACCCUUUGCCAUCCAAAAAUAUUAUACAUUUCAGACCUAUAGGAAGAAGAUUCACUUUUUCCUGGUUUUCGAUGCAAAAGUGUAAAAUUAUGACCUUCGGAGGGAUUGAUGUUUAAUAUAUUUGAAUUGAAAUUCAGGACUAAUUUUUAAACUUUAUCCCAGAUUUCUUCAUAUUCAUUUGGACUUGAUGGGAUGGAUGCAAGUUGAAAACUAGUCCCAUAAACUUCCUGAGGUGCAGUGCCUUUGCAAUCAUGGAUGAGACUAGCAUUGCAGUUGUGUGCUAUGAGCUUGUCUCACCACUUGAACUAAAUCCUGAAGUAAAUGCAACAGAUCUCCUGGUGGCUGAGCAUAGUUUUCAUGUUAUAGCUCUAUGAACUUUUAAAAAAAAAUCACCACUGUAUAUAGUUGUAAUACAGUCCAUCAGUCAUUGUUACUACACUGUCAAUAGUUUAUAUAACUGCAGCAAAUGAGUUAGAAGAACUAAAUAUAAAUGGAUUUGCGUCCUUUGAGGCCAGAAAUCAUUUGCUCCAGGAUUUUUGCCUUCAAUAUGCCAACAGGAUAAGAGCACCAUUGCAGAGGGAGUGCGCAAUUUUAAAGGCAUUUUUGACCUAAGAUUAGCACAAAUCCUUGUUUUAAUGGCAUGGUGCAAGUCAAACUGAGCUACAAGUAGAUGCUGAUCGAAAAUAUAGGCAUACAAUUGUUGAUGAAACAGCAUAUAGGUCACACAACAAGAGGAUCGGUACAGAAGGUGAUGUAGUAUUGGAACACUGUCAUUUUAUGAUCUAUAAUAUUGAUGUCAUGAGGAUAAUACCUUAUGCCUCUCCCAUUAACCAUCACACUAGUACUCUACAAUUUUUCUCCAAUGUUGACUUGAUCAGAGUGUUAGUCGUAGUCCUAUGAGUGCUAGAUCAUUAUGCCCACGGCUCCAGAAAGUGGAAUGGCCUUAGUUCUAUAAGGUAGCACAAACCUAUUGCUUAAAGAUUGGUGAGUUGAUCUAUAAUGAGAUAACUUAAAACUUCUACACUUGACUGCUAUCUGUUGAGGGUUUUUUUUGGCUUCUUUUCAUUUCGCUCUCUUUUUCUUCACAAUCUAUUACAUUUAUGGGGUUUAGCCACCAAUCAUGCUAAAUCAAGAAGGGGACAAGAUGUGGGACUUGGCUAGGUGUGUUUUCAAAAUCAGACUAUUCAGCCUUCACAUCAAUCAUUAAAAUGUAUUUUAGGUUUAUUCAGAGCUAGUAAAGUGGCCCAUCCCAGGAUGGGCAUUGGAGAGGAGGGCUUACCCGGGUACACAGGUUUAUUAUAGGAGGGAGCAGUGAGCAUAACUACUGGCAUACUUUGUGAAUGAGUCUGUCUUCUGUUUGUCUCUGUAUUGCUGCCUUUCUCUCCCUGACUUGCAUCUGUUUCCUCUCAAUGCACGUACUGUCUCAAUCCCUUUUCGAUGCCUAUCCUAUUUCCCUCUCUCUGUUCAUCCUGUCUCGCUGUCAGUUAGUUUUGUAUGUGUUUCUCAUUCUGUCCUUGUGUUGCUCCCUCUGCCUGUCUUUUUCUCUUUCUUUCUCAUCAGUCUUUCUGAGCUUUCCCUUUCUCCGUCUCAUUGCGCACUCACACUCAUUUGCUCUUCCAUCUCUCUUCCCUCACACUCAUUCUUCCCUUUUGCACACCUAGUCAUUCAAACGGUAUCUCUUUCCUGUAUCUUUCUUCUGCGACACUCUCCUUUGUAGCUUUAACUUCCCAGUAUCAAACUUGCAAACUUUGUUCUGCCACUGUCCCCAUUUUUUUUUCUCUCUUUUCCUCCCUUUACUCACACUUGUUCCUCCCUCCCUAUCUUUCCACCAUUCCAUUCCCGUCUCCCUAUUCACUCAUGUCUAUGUUCACACCAAUGUUUUAAUGGGAUGCAGUGUGAAAAUGCUCCCACGCAUCACUUCUUCCUCAUGAAUGGCUGAUAUCAUUUCCUUCUAAAAAUGGCCACCUCCUGCACUCUAUGCCUGGGAGAAGGACGUGAGGAUGACACCAUUUUCUUCAAAAAUGGCCACUGCUGAGUCACUUCUUACAUCAUGUGUGCAGUACGUAGAGAGCACCGAUGACGUCGGCCGUUCUUGAAUGCUAGACACCCUUUGCUUAUCAUGGGGUCUCCUGAUAUCAGUGCCUGAGGAGAGGGGAUGAGACAAUACAGUGAGGUGGAAUUGUGGAGUGCAGGUAAAGGAGAGGGUGCUUUUCCUUUGUGCCGUGUUUUUGGUAAAGAGUGGAUGUUGGUUUUAGAGAGGAGUUUUUUAUUAUUUGACAUCUACAAUAUUACUCUAGGUCUUCAUGGUUUGGAAUGGUUUGAAAGCUGGGGGCCUGAACACUGUAUAAUUCUUUGUUUUGUGCAAGUGUUUGUGUCUGUGACUUUCAGAGUUCUGUCAAUGGUCACAGUGGGAAUGUAUAAAUGGCUGCCUUUGGGGCUCAACCGAGGCAUGGGACUGGAUGGGAAGGUAUCACGUGAUAUUGUUGAUUGACGGGAGUUAUUUUGGGGAUUUCUCUAAAUUUCCAGCAUAGAAUUUUUCUAAUGAGUUUAAGUCCUUGCAAAAUAGGUUAUGGUUGUGUAAUUUAUACUUUCUGGCCCUACAUCUGUUGAUGGUAAAGGGAGAAAUCAAAGUGGGGAUGUAUGUGGCCUCUACUGAAAUUCUGUAGAUAAUUGUGAACACAUCAGUACAUUUGUUAUGCCUAUUAUCUAUUUAUAAUUCUAGUUUGUUACAAAAUUAAUAUCUGAUUUGAGGUGAACAAGGUAUAUCCAGUGAAGAAUUGGUUCUCAGGCUGUGCGCACUCACAAAAAUAUUUCUACCCUUGCUGCAUAGUUUCCCACUAUGAUGUGGCCACUAGAUUGCUAGGAUUUACAUAGCUAUUAGAUAUUGCUGUUAUAUUAUAAGCAGGCAAAAAAUUUAAAGAUUAACAAAGUUUUCUUUUUCUUUGUACAUGUGUUAUAUAAUCACUGAAAGUGCCCUGUGUUCAAUAUGUUAGCUUUUUAAUCCCCUUUUCCUCAUUAGAAAUAUUGUUCUAUUUAAAAAUUUCUUAAAUUAAAAUCAGUAGUUAUGUUUUUUUUAUAACUAAUGGAUGGAUAAACUGUAUACAUUCUGUCCUUUGUGUUUGUUGUUGCAUCUUAAAAACAAACUGGUCAGAUAUGGCCAUAGCUGUUCAAAGCUGUUCAUAAAAUGUGUGGCAAUAGGAGGACAGAAGUGUAAACUGCUGCAGGACUGCACUCGAUUAAGUGUACAAGAAAAUAGUCACCUUUGUUUUUAUUGAAGCAAAGAACUAAAACACUGGAAAUGUAACCUCAAUUAGUCUGUCUCUUGUGGUCUCUGUACUGUAACAUAAUUCUUUUAAUACAACAUGCUGUUUGACUGUU